rnacentral:lncRNA from 1 species
CCUGGCCUUUGUGGGGGCCGGAGAGCGGGGAUGGAGGAAGCCGGCCGACACCUCUCGGCGGCGUCCUUGGCCUCCAGACUAAGCGCCGCCAAGUCUCUGCCCCGCCUGCUGCCCACCCAGCCCGCCCUUCACCAGCCUGGACCCCGGACAGCAACCUCGUGAGCUCGAAGAUGCUCCUUAGACCCCGGGAAAAGCCAAAACAGCACCUCGCUGCUCUCUCGGGACGCCCGGUGGGUGUGGCCGCGCUCUCCCCCGGGGCUCUGCCUCCCCUGCGCAGUAGCCCAGGGGACGGCGACACAGAGGAGCCCCAAGGAUGGGCUGCUGAGCCCGCUCAGCUUCAAGACCACACCCCUCCCCCAGCCACGUGGCCAACCCGGGGUGACUGCCUCCGACAUUCGGGAGCUGCACCUGGGGACUUGAGCGCGAACCUUCGUUUUCUAAUUUUUUUUUUUUUUAAGAGCGCGUUUGAGUGCCCGCCUGCUGUGUGUCUGCGCACUGCGUGGGUGCGGUGGCCCGCAGAGGCCGGAAGAGGGCGUCGGAUCUCCCAGGACUGGAGCUGUGAGCUGCCAAGGGCGUGCUGCGGGUGCCACCCAGGUCCUCUGAGAGAGGGCCGAAUAUUUGAAGGCCUUCUAUAUGUCACCAUGCCGGGGGAUGGUAUGGUCAUUCCUUUCCUCUCUUCAUAGACCUCUGCAGAAAAGACAAAACUGACACAGGAACCUCCUCUUGAGCAGGGGUCCUGUCUCAGUGACGGGAAACUUCCCCUUAACCAGCCUCCCAGGGGAGCCACAAGCUGCUCACAUGAAUUCGGUCAACAGCGCCAUGUGGAUAGCAACCGUCCUGCUCACUGAUGCCAGCUGGUUUUGCAUCUAGUGGGCAAGAACUGCACCCUGUGUGGAGGAGGGCGCACGGAGGUGAGAAGGCACCGUACCAGCCCGUGACAGCUCCGGGCUCACAGGCAGGGACAUCCACACUUGAGUAACCCCCAGUUAGUUCUGUGGCACGUGUCUACAAAGAAGAGUGAAGAAGGGCUCUCCCAGAAGGUGGGAAGCUGUGAGCUCACAAAGCAUGCAGACCUGGAACGGCUUAGGAACUGAGUGAACAGCUAGGGGCAGUGUGGGCCAAUCUGCAGGGUUGUGUGGACUUGUCACAUGUUCCGAGAGGAGACUCUUCCAGGAGGAAGAAAAGCCCGGGAGGCUGCCAGGCCAUGUUGUAACACACCACAGCAAACAACAACAGGCGCUGUAGAUACAGCAGCUGCCGGCUUUUUUUUUUUUUUUUUUUUCUUCUGGGCCAGAGUAUGUGGGGGAACAGUCAGUUCUACAGUUCCGAAGACAGCCUGGCUAGCCCCACCCACUCCCCCAGAAAAACCACUCUGGCCACCAGACUUACCCUCCUCGGCAUUUUCCCUAAGCACUGAUGUCCUCGUUGUGGCUGGAGAAGUCCUGACCUGAAGCAGCGAGCAGUUCUUUGCCACGCUUAUCACUAAGGCUGGCUUCUCGGGUGUUCAUGCAAUCCAGCCUGGCCUCAAACUUGCUGUGUAGCUGAAGAUGUCCUUAAAUUCCUAAUCCUCAGCCAGGUGGUAGUGGUGCUCACGCCUUUAGUCCCAGCACUCGGGAGGCAGAAGCAGUUGGAUCUCUGCGAGUUUGAGACCAGCCUGGUCUACAAGAACUAGUUCCAGGACAGCCUCCAAAGCUACACAGAGAAACCCUGUCUUGAAAAACAAAAAACAAAAACUUUCUAACCCUCUAGUCUCCAUCUCCCAGGGGCACAUCAUCAUGCCUGGCUGGCCCUGGGAGUUUAGUAUCCGACUGUGUUCUAGUCAGGACAGUUAAGCAAGAAACACAUAGAGUGAGGUAUAGAUUGAAAAAGUAAACUUGGGCUGCUGUCCCCAUCUGCAAGCUUUGGGACCGACCUGACUGGGGUGAAAAGAAAGAAAAGGCUGGGGGUCAGGGGGGCCUCGUGUUCGGAUGAAGAUGCAACAGCAGCCCAAAACUCCUGUUUAUAUACAGCUCAUUGAGGAGGUGGGCUCAUUAUGUACAGCUGGUCUACUGUAUGCAGGCUGUCUCAGUAGGGCUCUCCACAGAGGAGCCAUCUCAGGCUGCAAUCAGUGGGAGAAGAAGGCUGUGUGGUUGACACUUUCUGCACAACUGUCAACACCUGGGCUUUAGCCAGGGGAAGACUGCCAUUCCCAUGGGUCCAAGGCCCUGGUGUCCUUUAUAUGGAUAUGCUCAUGUCAUUAGCACACAUUCACUCAGGACUUCACCCACUCCCCACAGGCUGUGGUGGUAUGGUGUGGCUCAUUUGGCAGAGUGCCAGUCUACCAUGCACAGAGCCCCGAGUUUGACCCACAGCACUGAAUAAAUAGGAUAGAGGCACUCGUCUGCAAUCCCGAAACUUGAGGAGUGGAGUCAGGGGGAUCAGAAGUUCGAGGUCAUCCUUGGCUAUUCAGUAAGGUAAAAACCAGUGUGGGAGCUAGAGAGAUGUCCUAGUGGUUGAGAGCACUGACUGCCCUUCCAGCCCCAGGUUCAAUUCCCAGCAGCUCACGACUGUCCUGUAACUCCAAUUCUAGAGGACCCAACACCCUCACACAGACAUACAUGCAGGCAAAACACCAAUGCACAUGAAAAAACAAAACAAACAAAAAACACUCCAAUCUGAGCUACAGACCCUGUUUCUGAAAGAAAGAACAGAAGGAAAGGGGGGAAGGAAGAAAGGAAGGAAGGAAGGAAGGAAGGAAGGAAGGAAGGAGAGAAGAUAGGUUGUCUUUUCUCAGAUGUAUGAUAUACUGUGCACCAAACUCGAACAAGCAUCAGAGCAAAAACACCCAGCAAGACUUUAGGACACAAACUCACUAACUAGCAGUUGUGUUUCUGUGUGCCUGAAUUGAACAAUGCAAAAUAAAAUUCAAAAUCUUAAAAAAAAAUAACUCCCAGUUUUGAUGCAUUAAAACCAGCAAAUAACAUCUUAUUUUUGUAGUACACUGAACUCAAGGCCUUGUCCGUGCUAGACCUCUCCCACCUAGCCAGAUCCCAGAACAGCACACUUCUGAAUGCACUCAACAAGAGAAGUCUAAAACUUACACGGUGAACAUUGGCAUCAUUGAAAGAAACUGAAGACCUAACAGUCCUGGGUUCAACCCCCAGUAAUACACACACAAUAAACAAAUAAAUAAAAUAUCCUUUGAGUGUUACUGAGGUGACCAUGGAGAUGACUAAUUAACUCUUUAGGAAUUGGGCCUCCAAUUAACAAGGCACCAGUUCUAGUUCCUCCAGUUUGGUUAAAGGAGACAGGGUCUAAGGGAAAAGGGAGUAAGUGUGCCAAGGACUCAGACAUGAGUCUCAUCAGAGGCACCCAGUAACCUAGUACAGUUCAACCUGUCUCUUCACAAUGCCAUGGCUCAUUGUCCCAAGGCCCAAUAUUCCUGAGUCCCAAAGUCUCCACAAGUAAAGUCUCCACAAGUAAAGUCCCAAAGUCUCCACAGGCCCAGAUCACAAAGGGCUUUGUCACGUGACGUUUCUCAUCCUCUGCAGAUGUUUAGACUGCAGAAGCAAGUCAUCCAGGGAAAUCCAAGUCACCUCCAGUGUGGGGGUGGCAUGGUAACCAGCUAUGUUUCUUUGGCUGUGACAAG